CACUCCUACGGGAGGCAGCAGUGGGGAAUUUUGGACAAUGGGCGAAAGCCUGAUCCAGCCAUGCCGCGUGCAGGAUGAAGGCCUUCGGGUUGUAAACUGCUUUUGUACGGAACGAAACGGCCUUUUCUAAUAAAGAGGGCUAAUGACGGUACCGUAAGAAUAAGCACCGGCUAACUACGUGCCAGCAGCCGCGGUAAUACGUAGGGUGCAAGCGUUAAUCGGAAUUACUGGGCGUAAAGCGUGCGCAGGCGGUUAUGUAAGACAGUUGUGAAAUCCCCGGGCUCAACCUGGGAACUGCAUCUGUGACUGCAUAGCUAGAGUACGGUAGAGGGGGAUGGAAUUCCGCGUGUAGCAGUGAAAUGCGUAGAUAUGCGGAGGAACACCGAUGGCGAAGGCAAUCCCCUGGACCUGUACUGACGCUCAUGCACGAAAGCGUGGGGAGCAAACAGGAUUAGAAACCCGGGUAGUCCCAUGA
rnacentral:rRNA from 1 species